rnacentral:lncRNA from 1 species
GUAAGAAGUGCCUUUCAUAUCCUGCCAUGAUUCUGAGGCCUCCCCAGACAUGUGGAACUAGACGGGGUUUCACCGUGUUAGCCAGGAUGGUCUCGAUCUUUUGACCUCGUGACCCGCCCGCCUCAGCCUCUCAGAGUGCUGGGAUUACAGGAGUGAGCCACCGCGCCUGACCAUUACCCAUGCUCUUAAUCAUGAUUUGUGUUUCCUCUUGGCCAAAUCCUGUGUUGGCCUAUCUCACUUAUAAUAAGACGGGGACUGCUGUCCUCCAGAAAAUGUUAACUAAAAGUACUGAAUUCUUCAUGGCAUAUGCUGAAUACAUGGGCUGAUCAUAGAUACAAUUCACAUAAAGAGUGAUGCAGAGAUGUGACCCAACGGGUCUACCUACCAGGGAGGAGGUGUGGUUUUUACUGGAAUAUUCUGGCAGGCAAAAGAUCUCUCCUUUUGGCUUUCUCCCUGCUUCUGAAACACAUCCCUUUCCAGGAAUGCAUGCUUUCUGAGGCAGACAAAAGAAGAGUUGUUCAAGGAGAAGAAGACUUAGAGACACAGACACACAGAGGGAAGAAGGCCAUAGAAAGACAAAGGCAAAGAUUGGAGUUGUACUGCCACAAGCCCAAGAAUGAGGAAACCACCAGGAGCUAGAAGAAACAAGCAAGGAUUCGUCCCUGGAUUGGUCUUUCAAAGGGAGCAUGGCCCUGCUGACACUUUAAUUUCAGACUUCUAGGCUGCAGAACCAUUAAAGAAUAAAUUUCCUUUGUUUCAAAAAAAAAAAAAAAA